rnacentral:rRNA from 1 species
UAUCCUGGCUCAGGAUGAACGCUAGCGGCAGGCUUAAUACAUGCAAGUCGAGGGGCAGCAUGACUGUAGCAAUACAGUUGAUGGCGACCGGCAAACGGGUGCGGAACACGUACGCAACCUACCCAUAACUGAUGAAUAGCCCUCCGAAAGGAGGAUUAAUACAUCGUAACUUAAUGAAGUGGCAUCACUUUAUUAAUAUAGCUCCGGCGGUUUUGGAUGGGCGUGCGCCUGAUUAGGUAGUUGGCGGGGUAACGGCCCACCAAGCCUGCGAUCAGUAACUGGUGUGAGAGCACGACCAGUCACACGGGCACUGAGACACGGGCCCGACUCCUACGGGAGGCAGCAGUAAGGAAUAUUGGUCAAUGGACGCAAGUCUGAACCAGCCAUGCCGCGUGAAGGAUGAAGGUCCUCUGGAUUGUAAACUUCUUUUGAAUGGGACGAAACCUCUUUUUCUAAAGAGACUGACGGUACCAUUAGAAUAAGCACCGGCUAACUCCGUG